UCUUUGAUAUUGUUUUUCAGAUGCAGAGGGACGACCUGUGUGCCAAAUGCCGCUGAUGGACUUGUGGGUGGAGCGCCAUAGGGAGGCGAGUCGGCUGUGGUGUAGGUGGAGAGCAAGCCUCAACAUGGCAGCCUGAGAUGAUGGAUGCUGGGCAGGAGAGCGGUCAAGGUGCUACAUGCAGCCUCAGAGGGGUGGAGCUUCAUGCUGAGAAAUGGUUUGAGCGGUG